CCGGAGCUAACGCGUUAAGUAGACCGCCUGGGGAGUACGGCCGCAAGGUUAAAACUCAAAUGAAUUGACGGGGGCCCGCACAAGCGGUGGAGCAUGUGGUUUAAUUCGAUGCAACGCGAAGAACCUUACCUGGUCUUGACAUCCACGGAAGAAUCCAGAGAUGGAUUUGUGCCUUCGGGAGCCGUGAGACAGGUGCUGCAUGGCUGUCGUCAGCUCGUGUUGUGAAAUGUUGGGUUAAGUCCCGCAACGAGCGCAACCCUUAUCCUUUGUUGCCAGCGGUCCGGCCGGGAACUCAAAGGAGACUGCCAGUGAUAAACUGGAGGAAGGUGGGGAUGACGUCAAGUCAUCAUGGCCCUUACGACCAGGGCUACACACGUGCUACAAUGGCGCAUACAAAGAGAAGCGACCUCGCGAGAGCAAGCGGACCUCAUAAAGUGCGUCGUAGUCCGGAUUGGAGUCUGCAACUCGACUCCAUGAAGUCGGAAUCGCUAGUAAUCGUGGAUCAGAAUGCCACGGUGAAUACGUUCCCGGGCCUUGUACACACCGCCCGUCACACCAUGGGAGUGGGUUGCAAAAGAAGUAGGUAGCUUAACCUUCGGGAGGGCGCUUACCACUUUGUGAUUCAUGACUGGGGUGAAGUCGUAACAAGGUAACCGUAGGGGAACCUGCGGUUGGA
rnacentral:rRNA from 1 species